UGCAGAAUCCCGUGAACCAUCGAGUCUUUGAACGCAAGUUGCGCCCGAAGCCUUUAGGCCAAGGGCACGUCUGCCUGGGCGUCACGC
rnacentral:rRNA from 1 species